rnacentral:rRNA from 1 species
AUGACAUCCUCGCGUUUGAGUGAAGAAAGCGGUAGAAUCUUUGUUCACUUCAAUGACAACACUGAACUGGAAGCAAGGAGAUUAGUGUCUGCAGAUCGAUUCACUUUGCUAGAAGUUGACUACAAAGCUGGUUGCAGAUAUGCUAUUCAGAACCAGUUAAUGUCUGCUCCGGUUUUUGAUUUAAACGGCAAAGUUAUUGGGCUAGUGACUUCUCAGUGUGGCACGGAUAAGACCAAAAAUGAUAUCAAGAUUGGACUUUUAGCCUCUCAUGCUCAGAAGAUUCGUGAUGACCUACUAGAGGAAAGCAAGAAAGAAAUGAAGGUAGCUGAGCGCUCUGAGGAAAGCAAGCAGCAUGAAGAAGGAGCUGAGACUAACAGCUCCGCGGGUACAAGGUUUCUUUUGCCAAAAUAA